rnacentral:rRNA from 1 species
AUUGAACGCUGGCGGCAGGCUUAACACAUGCAAGUCGAGCGGGGAAUGGUAGCUUGCUACCUGACCUAGCGGCGGACGGGUGAGUAAUACUUAGGAAUCUACCUAUUAAUGGGGGACAACAUUUCGAAAGGGAUGCUAAUACCGCAUACGCCCUACGGGGGAAAGCAGGGGAUCUUCGGACCUUGCGUUAAUAGAUGAGCCUAAGUCGGAUUAGCUAGUUGGUGGGGUGAAGGCCUACCAAGGCGACGAUCUGUAGCGGGUCUGAGAGGAGGAUACGCCCCACUGGGACUGGGAGACGGCCCAGACUCCUACGGGAGGCAGCAGUGGGGAAUAUUGGACAAUGGGGGCAACCCUGAUCCAGCCAUGCCACGUGAGUGAAGAAGGCCUUCGGGUUGUAAAGCUCUUUCGGCCGGGAAGAAAUCGUAUCAGCUAAUACCUGGUGCGGAUGACGGUACCGGCAUAAGAAGCACCGGCUAACUACGUGCCAGCCGCCGCAGUAAGAC